GUCCACGCCUUAAACGAUGGAUACUAAGUGUCGGCGGGUUACCGCCGGUGCCGCAGCUAACGCAGUAAGUAUCCCGCCUGGGAAGUACGGCCGCAAGGUUGAAACUCAAAGGAAUUGACGGGGGCCCGCACAAGCGGUGGAGCAUGUGGUUUAAUUCGACGCAACGCGAAGAACCUUACCUAGGCUGGACAUGCACGUAGUAGGAGGGUGAAAGCCCAACGAGGUAGCAAUACCAGCGUGCUCAGGUGCUGCAUGGCUGUCGU
rnacentral:rRNA from 1 species